rnacentral:rRNA from 1 species
AGGACGAACGCUGGCGGCGUGCCUAAUACAUGCAAGUCGAGCGGAACUGAAAGAGCUUGCUUUUUCAGUUUAGCGGCGGACGGGUGAGUAACACGUGGGCAACCUGCCCUGCAGAUCGGGAUAACUCCGGGAAACCGGUGCUAAUACCGAAUAGUUUGGAACCUCUCCUGAGGUUCCACGGAAAGACGGUUUCGGCUGUCACUGCAGGAUGGGCCCGCGGCGCAUUAGCUAGUUGGUGGGUAAUGGCCACAGCGACGAUGCGUAGCCGACCUGAGAGGGUGAUCGGACCACACGUGGACUGAGACACGCCCAGACUCCGUACGGGAGCAGCGAGUA